rnacentral:rRNA from 1 species
CAGUAGCCGCGGUAAUGCGAAGGGUGCAAGCGUUAAUCGGAAUUACUGGGCGUAAAGCGUGCGUAGGCGGUUUGUUAAGUCUGUUGUGAAAUCCCCGGGCUCAACCUGGGAAUGGCAAUGGAUACUGGCAAGCUAGAGUGUGUCAGAGGAUGGUGGAAUUCCCGGUGUAGCGGUGAAAUGCGUAGAGAUCGGGAGGAACAUCAGUGGCGAAGGCGGCCAUCUGGGACAACACUGACGCUGAGGCACGAAAGCGUGGGGAGCAAACAGGAUUAGAUACCCGUGUAGUCCCUGUCUCUUAUAC